AUUGUUGAAAGGGAAGGGUAUUGCGCCCGACAUGGAGCGUGCGCACCGCUGCCCCUCGUGGGCGGCGCUCUGGGCGUGCUCUGGGCCAGCAUCGGUUUUUGCCGCGGGAGAAGGGCGGCGGGCAUGUAGCUCUUCGGAGUGUUAUAGCCUGCCGCCGGCGCCGCGAGCGGGGACCGAGGACUGCGACUUUUGUCUCGGAUGCUGGCACAACGGCGCAACACCGCCCGUCUUGAAACAUGGACCAAGGAGUCUAACGUCUAUGCGAGUGUUUGGGUGUGAAACCCCGGGCGCGUAAUGAAAGUGAACGUAGGUCGGACCGCUCCUCUCGGGGGGCGGGCACGAUCGACCGAUCCUGAUGUCUUCGGAUGGAUUUGAGUAAGAGCAUAGCUGUUGGGACCCGAAAGAUGGUGAACUAUGCCUGAAUAGGGUGAAGCCAGAGGAAACUCUGGUGGAGGCUCGUAGCGGUUUCUGACGUGCAAAUCGAUUCGUCGAAAUUUGGGU
rnacentral:rRNA from 1 species